UCCGAGUUGACCCCGGCAGUCUCCCAUGAGUCCCCGCCAUUACGCGCUGGCAACAUGGAACGAGGGUUGCGCUCGUUGCGGGACUUAACCCAACAUCUCACGACACGAGCUGACGACAGCCAUGCACCACCUGUGAAGAUCCAGCCGAACUGACCCCGUGUUUCCACGGGUAUGAUCCACAUGUCAAGCCCAGGUAAGGUUCUUCGCGUUGCGUCGAAUUAAACCACAUGCUCCGCUGCUUGUGCGGGCCCCCGUCAAUUCCUUUGAGCUUUAGCCUUGCGACCGUACUCCCCAGGCGGCGCACCUAACGUUUUUACUUCGACCGAAAAGCCGUCAGAGACACUUCGAUCUAGUGCGCAUCGUUUACGGCGUGGACUAC
rnacentral:misc_RNA from 1 species